rnacentral:rRNA from 1 species
UGGGGAAUUUUGGACAGUGGGGGCAACCCUGAUCCAGCCAUGCCGCGUGAGUGAAGAAGGCCUUCGGGUUGUAAGGCUCUUUCGCUCGGGACGAUAAUGACGGUACCGAGAUAAGAAGCCCCGGCUAACUUCGUGCCAGCAGCCGCGGUAAUACGAAGGGGGCUAGCGUUGUUCGGAAUUACUGGGCGUAAAGCGCGUGUAGGCGGGUCUUUAAGUCAGGGGUGAAAUGCCAAGGUUCAACCUUGGAACUGCCUUUGAUACUGAAGAUCUUGAGUCCGGGAGAGGUGAGUGGAACUGCGAGUGUAGAGGUGAAAUUCGUAGAUAUUCGCAAGAACACCAGUGGCGAAGGCGGCUCACUGGCCCGGAACUGACGCUGAGACGCGAAAGCGUGGGGAGCAAACAGGAUUAGAUACCCUGGUAGUCUACGCUGUAAACGAUGGAUGCUAGCCGUUGGGGAGCUUGCUCUUCAGUGGCGCAGCUAACGCUUUAAGCAUCCCGCCUGGGGAGUACGGUCGCAAGAUUA